GGAGGACCUUGGGGGUGAAUCUGAGGAGAAAAAGAGGAGUUGGACUUCGAUAAAAGGUCUCAGAGAUUCAUGUAUAUCUCUCACAUUUAGUCCAGAGCUCAGCAUGGAGAUAAACGACUUGAUCUGCUUAUGAAAUUCCAUCUCUUUCACAUGCCAGAGAGUCCAGCGCGCUCACACACACUCACACUCACACACACACACACACACACACACACACACACACACACACACACACUCACACACUCACACAGCUCUUAACCGAGAUCUCUUCUAAAAGUAUGCAGUCUGAUAUAUUACAGAUCCUCCCCAAUUCCGCUCUGCGAAAUUGAUAAGUCAGAAUCUUAAAAUCUGUGGCUUUAGAGGCCUGAUGAACAUCAAGGGAAAGAAAAAGCAGCACACCAGCAGCACAAGAAGCUUGUAGUAUUUGAGGGAUUAGAAGAUCAAGCCUCUGUUUUUACUUUGUUCAUUAAAUCAGUUACACACAGAGGAUUACGGCUCCAUAAGUCGGUAAGUUGCUUAAAGCGUCCCGACAAGCGAACCCGCCCGGGUUUAAACUUUUGAACUCUGUUUGUUGCAGGAGGAGCGGAGACGAUAGUACCUGCCUGCUAACAAUAUGUAGCACAUAAAGAGCUGGGACUUAAUCUAAAGUAGGCCUACAUUACAACAACAGGAGUCUCCAUAGCUGCUGUUUUUAGCCUCCUAGCAGGGAACAGUAUCGACAAAAUGUCAAAGCUGUCAAAGUUCACAGUUAUGUGAUCCAAUAUUCAACGCUUAUGAAACUUUUUCCCAUAACUUGUACUUCUGUAUCUGUGUAGGUUCUCAGUCAUCCAGCUUCGGAUGUCCUUCUGUAAAUCAGUCUGGUUCAGCUGUAAAUAUGUGACCUAAUCACAGACAUGUGGUCCCAUGAUGAGAGGUGGAUGAAUAUGGAAAAUGAAAAAUUGUAACUAUAUCCAAAUCAAGCUUAAAUUAGCCCCAACCUAGAGACAAAAUCUCAGACAUGAUUCCCGCCCUUUGCACAGUGAUUUUCAUUUUCUCUCUCUGGACGAGGAUUUUAGUCCCAAAGUGUGACGAAAAAAGCUGAACUGAACAAGCUGUCGCCAUAUUUGCACAUACACACUGAUUUAUCUAGAUAGGAGGUAAUUUAUUUUUUUCAUUUGUUGAUAUUUCUCUUAUUCCCUGAUUGGUGGAUUUCACUUCAUGGAUUUCAUAUUUCAAUAGGUUGCCACAUGGCAUUGACUCUAUUUUAGAGCCAGCUUCAAGUCAAAUUCAUAGUAUAUGUAAAUGUACUUGGCACUAAAAAAAAUUGACCGAGAUUGUGCUUCUGAAGUGGCCAUAUGUGGAACUACAGUUUCUGGCAUUGGCUUCAUUUUUUUUGUAAACGGGGGGUUAAUUUGAUAUCAGGGCUGCCAGCAUGUUGUUGAAGAGGCCUCAGUACCAAGGAAGAACAACUUAUUAAUGUUGUUACAAAUCUAAAUAUGUUUUGUUCACAGUUGUCUGUCACAGUGUUUUACACUUGGAAACUCAUUUAUUGGUUGCACUUUCAGAUCUAAAUAAAUAGUUUGCAUUCUAUGCUUUCUCCAUACAAAUGUCCAAGAGAAUUGUGUGCACACUGUCUAACUUGCAAUGGAAACAAUUGCCAAUAAAGGUAUUUUUGCAGAGUU